rnacentral:rRNA from 1 species
GAUGAACGCUGGCGGCGUGCCUAAUACAUGCAAGUCGAGCGAACGGACGAGAAGCUUGCUUCUCUGAUGUUAGCGGCGGACGGGUGAGUAACGCGUGGAUAACCUACCCAUAAGACUGGGAUAACUUCGGGAAACCGGAGCUAAUACCGGAUAAUAUUUUGAACCGCAUGGUUCAAAAGUGAAAGACGGUCUUGCUGUCACUUAUAGAUGGAUCCGCGCUGCAUUAGCUAGUUGGUAAGGUAACGGCUUACCAAGGCAACGAUGCAUAGCCGACCUGAGAGGGUGAUCGGCCACACUGGAACUGAGACACGGUCCAGACUCCUACGGGAGGCAGCAGUAGGGAAUCUUCCGCAAUGGGCGAAAGCCUGACGGAGCAACGCCGCGUGAGUGAUGAAGGUCUUCGGAUCGUAAAACUCUGUUAUUAGGGAAGAACAUAUGUGUAAGUAACUGUGCACAUCUUGACGGUACCUAAUCAGAAAGCCACGGCUAACUACGUG